rnacentral:tRNA from 1 species
CGGGUUAUAGCUCAGUGGUACAGUGCGUGCUUAGCAUGCUUGAGGUCCUGGGUUCAAUCCCCAGUACCUCCA